AGACCCGAAACCCGGUGAUCUAGCCAUGGGCAGGUUGAAGGUUGGGUAACACUAACUGGAGGACCGAACCGACUAAUGUUGAAAAAUUAGCGGAUGACCUGUGGCUGGGGGUGAAAGGCCAAUCAAACCGGGAGAUAGCUGGUUCUCCCCGAAAGCUAUUUAGGUAGCGCCUCGUGAAUUCAUCUCCGGGGGUAGAGCACUGUUUCGGCUAGGGGGUCAUCCCGACUUACCAACCCGAUGCAAACUGCGAAUACCGGAGAAUGUUAUCACGGGAGACACACGGCGGGUGCUAACGUCCGUCGUGAAGAGGGAAACAACCCAGACCGCCAGCUAAGGUCCCAAAGUCAUGGUUAAGUGGGAAACGAUGUGGGAAGGCCCAGACAGCCAGGAUGUUGGCUUAGAAGCAGCCAUCAUUUAAAGAAAGCGUAAUAGCUCACUGGUCGAGUCGGCCUGCGCGGAAGAUGUAACGGGGCUAAACCAUGCACCGAAGCUGCGGCAGCGACGCUUAUGCGUUGUUGGGUAGGGGAGCGUUCUGUAAGCCUGUGAAGGUGGCCUGUGAGGGUUGCUGGAGGUAUCAGAAGUGCGAAUGCUGACAUAAGUAACGAUAAAGCGGGUGAAAAGCCCGCUCGCCGGAAGACCAAGGGUUCCUGUCCAACGUUAAUCGGGGCAGGGUGAGUCGACCCCUAAGGCGAGGCCGAAAGGCGUAGUCGAUGGGAAACGGGUUAAUAUUCCCGUACUUGGUGUUACUGCGAAGGGGGGACGGAGAAGGCUAUGUUGGCCGGGCGACGGUUGUCCCGGUUUAAGCGUGUAGGUGUGUGUUCCAGGUAAAUCCGGUUCACUUUAACACUGAGGCGUGAUGACGAGGCACUACGGUGCUGAAGCAACAAAUGCCCUGCUUCCAGGAAAAGCCUCUAAGCAUCAGGUAACAUCAAAUCGUACCCCAAACCGACACAGGUGGUCAGGUAGAGAAUACCAAGGCGCUUGAGAGAACUCGGGUGAAGGAACUAGGCAAAAUGGUGCCGUAACUUCGGGAGAAGGCACGCUGACACGUAGGUGAAGUGAUUUACUCACGGAGCUGAAGUCAGUCGAAGAUACCAGCUGGCUGCAACUGUUUAUUAAAAACACAGCACUGUGCAAACACGAAAGUGGACGUAUACGGUGUGACGCCUGCCCGGUGCCGGAAGGUUAAUUGAUGGGGUCAGCGCAAGCGAAGCUCCUGAUCGAAGCCCCGGUAAACGGCGGCCGUAACUAUAACGGUCCUAAGGUAGCGAAAUUCCUUGUCGGGUAAGUUCCGACCUGCACGAAUGGCGUAAUGAUGGCCAGGCUGUCUCCACCCGAGACUCAGUGAAAUUGAACUCGCUGUGAAGAUGCAGUGUACCCGCGGCAAGACGGAAAGACCCCGUGAACCUUUACUAUAGCUUGACACUGAACAUUGAGCCUUGAUGUGUAG
rnacentral:rRNA from 1 species